GCAUCCCUAGUACGUACGCUAUUUCGUCGUUUCUUCCGUCACCGCCCGCCAUUUUGUAAGCGAUUAUUUUAUUAGUAUCGUGACGCAGUUACCUUACUGAAAUAAACUCCUAAUCGCAGAUUAGGUAGUGAUAUUGUGUAGAGGAAAUAUGUCUAGGUACGGUGAUUGCAAGGUUUAUGUUGGUGAUUUGGGUAACAAUGCGAGCAAACCUGAACUUGAAGAUGCAUUUUCAUACUACGGGCCGUUAAGGAAUGUUUGGGUGGCUCGGAAUCCACCCGGCUUCGCGUUUGUCGAAUUUGAAGAUCCUCGUGACGCUGAGGAUGCGGUACGUGGUUUAGAUGGACGUACAAUAUGUGGACGCCGUGCACGUGUGGAAACUUCAAAUGGUGGUCGCUAUGGAGGACGCGGGCCGCCACCGCGCUCCCGGCUGCCUCCACGCCCUUAUGACGACCGCUGCUACGACUGCGGUGACCGUGGCCACUAUGCCAGAGACUGCACGCGUCGCCGUCGCCGCAGGUUAUCAUUGGCCUGUGCGCCGAGAACGAACUCGUCAGUGUCUGCACUUCUUAUUGUCUGCGCUACGUAGCUUUCACUUCGCGGCGUGAGCGCCGCUAAGUUGGCCACAUCUAACUUUGCUCUGCGAACUACGUAGCAGCGUGCGUACUUCACUGUCGCGAACUACAUUGAGAGUAAUGUUCGUUCUGCGCCCCGCUACACACGUCUAAUGUAAUCACUGCGUGCACUCACCGCUCGAGGUCCCGCCGUCGCACAAGAUCCCGCUCACCGCGCUCUGGCUCUCGUUCCCGCAGCCGCAGCCGCUCCAGGUCCCGUUCAAAGGGCCGUUCCGUCUCCCGUUCGAGGUCUCGUUCGCCAUCG